rnacentral:rRNA from 1 species
CACGUAGGGUGCGAGCGUUGUCCGGAAUUAUUGGGCGUAAAGAGCUCGUAGGCGGUGUGUCGCGUCGGCCGUGAAAACCUGCAGCUUAACUGUGGGCUUGCGGUCGAUACGGGCAUCACUGGAGUUCGGCAGGGGAGACUGGAAUUCCUGGUGUAGCGGUGAAAUGCGCAGAUAUCAGGAGGAACACCCGGUGGGCGAAGGCGGGGUCUCUGGGCCGAAUACUGACGCUGGAGGAGCGAAAGCGUUGGGGAGCGAACAGG